rnacentral:rRNA from 1 species
GGGAUCCUCUGCUCCUAGAGAAGGACGUCCCCUUCGGGGGCAGAGUGACAGGUGGUGCAUGGUUGUCGUCAGCUCGUGUCGUGAGAUGUUGGGUUAAGUCCCGCAACGAGCGCAACCCUUGAUCUUAGUUGCCAGCAUUCAGUUGGGCACUCUAAGGUGACUGCCGGUGACAAACCGGAGGAAGGUGGGGAUGACGUCAAAUCAUCAUGCCCCUUAUGACCUGGGCUACACACGUGCUACAAUGGACAGAACAAAGGGCAGCGAAACCGCGAGGUUAAGCCAAUCCCACAAAUCUGUUCUCAGUUCGGAUCGCAGUCUGCAACUCGACUGCGUGAAGCUGGAAUCGCUAGUAAUCGCGGAUCAGCAUGCCGCGGUGAAUACGUUCCCGGGUCUUGUACACACGCCAG